GCUCAGGAUGAACGCUGGCGGCGCGCCUAACACAUGCAAGUCGAACGAGCGAGAGAGAGCUUGCUUUCUUGAGCGAGUGGCGAACGGGUGAGUAACGCGUGAGGAACCUGCCUCAAAGAGGGGGACAACAGUUGGAAACGACUGCUAAUACCGCAUAAGCCCACGGCUCGGCAUCGAGCAGAGGGAAAAGGAGCAAUCCGCUUUGAGAUGGCCUCGCGUCCGAUUAGCUAGUUGGUGAGGUAACGGCCCACCAAGGCAACGAUCGGUAGCCGGACUGAGAGGUUGAACGGCCACAUUGGGACUGAGACACGGCCCAGACUCCUACGGGAGGCAGCAGUA
rnacentral:rRNA from 1 species